AUUGAACGCUGGCGGCAGGCCUAACACAUGCAAGUCGAGCGGAUCGGCGGUCGGGUGAGUAAUGCCUAUGAAUCUGCCUGUUAGUGGGGGAUAACGUUCGGAAACUGGCGCUAAUACCGCUUCCUAUCAGAUUCGCCUAGGUCGGAUUAGCUAGUUGGGGGGGUAAAGGCCUACCAAGGCGACGAUCCGUAUCUGGUCCGAGAGGAUGAUCAGUCACACUGGAACUGAGACACGGUCCAGACUCCUACGGGAGGCAGCAGUGGGGAAUAUUGGACAAUGGGCGAAAGCCUGAUCCAGCCAUGCCGCGUGUAUGAAGAAGGUCUUCGGAUUGUAAAGCACUUUAAGUUGGGAGGCGUUACCAACAGAAUAAGCACCGGCUAACUUCGUGCCAGCCGCCGCGGUAAUUC
rnacentral:rRNA from 1 species